GGGGAUCGGAAUGUGGCUCAAGUUGGGAGGCGUUACCUGCGGAGGGUUUGAGGCACGCCCAGGAGCGAGCCCACGGUCGGCCGACGCGGGGCCAGGGGCGGGCCCCAGGAUCCGGAGCUUCGGGCGGGGCCGAGUCUGGGUUUGGGGCCCGGGAGGCGGGGCCAGUUAGGGCGAGGGUCCCUGGGAUCGUCGGGUCAGGCCUUGGGCUAACGUAGACACUCUCGCAGUACCUCCGCCUUCAGGAAGGUCUUUUUAGCAGGGGCCUUACAGGUGCACGCUUCGGUCCUGGAGGCCUUAUCCUAACCUCUCCAUCAGCGCCACCCGUCUGGGGCCCGAAAGGAGGGAGCUUUCCCUCUGUCCUCCAGCCUUUGGACUGUCUCCAAACAAGCCAUUCGUUCACCAAAUACUUAUUAAGCACCUACCAUGUGCCUGACAAGGGAGAUGUAACGCUGUUGUUCCCCACCAGAACCAAAUGAGCGCAAGAUCUGACAAAGAAAAAAAAGGUUCAUCUUUUAUUCCCCCAAACACUUUCAUUUAAAUCAAGAGGAUGGGAUGUGGUUAUUGCUGUGUUUUUAGACAGAAUCAACGGUUUCUGUGUCUGAGAUGUUGCAUACACCCUCUCAGUCCCUCUAUCCUGAGAUGGAGUCACCUGAGGAUCCACAGCAAGUCCUAACCAGGGAUGGGUCUGGGUGAUUAAGGAAGGUUGGCUUCAGAACUGGGCCAGGGGCACUGCUUUGCUUUUGCUGUUUUGAUCAGCUCUCUGCCUGCAGGAGACAAGGAAAACCAAUGGGAACAGGGUCUCUCUCUCUGCCACCCAGGCCAGAGUGCAGUUGACGCAGGGCAGGGGAGCCCCGAAGUGGAGCAUAGUGUGUCCGGAACUGGUGGGUUCUUGGUCUCACUGACUUCAAGAAUGAAGCCGUGGACCCUCACGGUUCAAGCGAUUCUCCUGCCUCAGCCUCC
rnacentral:lncRNA from 1 species